UUCAUUCAAUUGAAGGGCAGCUGUUCAAAUGGCCUCAGAAGGGCAAAGUGAGAAUACAGAGUGUCUGCCGGAGCCUCAUACAUCUGCUGUUCAAAAUGACAUAGCAUUUCAGUGGGGAACCAUUCUUGCUGCAGUGAAAGAUCAGCUCCCAUCUCUGGACUCUGACACUUCCACAUCUGAUUGUGAGAGCGAUGGGGAGCUUUUCAUCUUCCAACGAAAACAUCCAAACUUAAUUCCUGACCUGUCAGAAGAACUGAUGGAUUUUUCCUGGGAAGACUCAAAUAUGCAGCAAAUACAGGAAACAGCAAGACAUCCAUGGAAGAUCUGGAAUGAAGACCUGGAAAGUUUUGGCCUGCAGAAAGAAACAGGUGGUGUUGAAGUCACUGCAAAAAAACAUGUGCAAGUGAUUAAAGAUGAGACUUCCAGUUUUGCCAGCCAUAGUGAGGGAAUUCCAGGGCCAAAAAGAACUGUUUUUGAAGAAUCUCUUGCGGAUU